GCGCAUCAGCCAUGGCGCGGUGAAUACGUUCCCGGGCCUUGUACACACCGCCCGUCAAGCCAUGGGAGCCGGGAGUGCCUGAAGUGCGUGACCGUAAAAGGAGCGCCCUAGGGCAAGACCGGUGACUGGGGCUAAGUCGUAACAAGGUAGC
rnacentral:rRNA from 1 species